GUGAGUCCUCAUGAAGAUGGCAGCAUGGAGAUGCAUGCACAUACUAACAGAUAAACUCUCUCCAGCACGAUGAAGCACACCAGCAUGUUUCCCAGCAUGCACAGUGAGAAGAUGAGCAUGUAGGCCAGGAUAAUGACGGAGGCCACGGCGAGGGAAUGCUGGUAGAACGGAGCGUGAAGUGAUGCGGGACAGACGUGGCCUCCGGCGUCAGCGGGUUACACCGCACAUCCACACUCUUCAGAGCAGGCAUCAGAGACAGCUUCUCCAUCGGCAACUCUGAGAGAGAGACACAGAGAGACAGAGAGAGAGAGAGAGAGAGACAUCAGACCUGUGCAGCAUCGGCCCUUCAGAAUGGGAGUGGGAGGAGCCUAAUCAAUCAAGUGACCAGAGACACGCCCACAACAUUGUGCCUCUCAAAACAAGCCAGAAGUAAUCAAGUGCUGAUUGUAAGUAAACGAGAACACUGAUCUGUUUGUUUGAGUGGCCCGACUCAACCAAUCACUGACACUAGUGAAGCAGAAACGACCCACUUCCGCUUUAAAACCUGUUACCGAAGCACUGAAAUCUGAAGGGAAGCCUGAAAUGAGAGCGUGAUGUGCUUCUCUGUGUGUGUUUAGCAUGUGCUGGUCUCCACCGUGUAGCUUGUUGAUGUUAUUAUGUUGUAUUGAGACGGACCGCACUUACGUGAGAUUGUUACUCCGCUCUACGAGACGCUUUCAUCUUCUGUAGCCGUCAGAUAAUCACAAAGCAAAAACACUGUCAUGGAAAUGAUGCUCUGGGUUUUAUUCGUAUGAAGUAUUAUGGAAAUGUUUGUGAAUUGAUAUUGAAAUUGGAGAUGUUCUGUUCCUGGUUCAGUUAUAUCUGCUGGCUACUGUAAAGCUGUAUUAAAUGCAUUACUAGCUCUAAAUAAGCAUUUUGCAUUUUAAUAAACAUCACAUACAGGCUGGGAAGAGAUCAAAAGUGACA